GCUCAAACAUCAACAUUCUUCAUCAAACAAAGUGCUGUAUUAAACAGAAAAAUAGGCGAAAGGUUUGAACUUCCACCGUCUUCAAUUUUCACAGUUGCAGCCUUAGGAAUGAUAAUUUCUGUGGCCAUUUAUGACAAGAUUCUUGUACCUAUCUUAAGAAAAGUAAAUCAAAAUGAGAGAGGAAUCAACAUCCUUCAAAGGAUUGGUUUUGGAAUGUUUUUCACUAUUGCAACAAUGAUAGUAGCAGCUUUAAUAGAGAAAAAGAGACUUGAAGCUGCUAAGGAUUCACUAACAAUGAGUGUCUUUUGGUUGGUUCCACAAUUUCUAAUUAUCGGUUUCGGUGACGGAUUUACUCUUGUUGGAUUGCAAGAAUAUUUCUAUGACCAAGUUCCGGAUUCAAUGAGAAGUUUAGGAAUAGCUUUUUAUCUAAGUGUGAUUGGAGCUGCGAAUUUCAUUAGUAGUAUAAUGAUAACAAUUGUUGAUCACAUAACAAAGAAGAAUGGGAAGAGUUGGUUUGGUAAGGAUUUGAAUAGUAGUAGAUUGGACAAAUUUUAUUGGCUAUUGGCAGGUAUAACUACAUUGAAUUUGUUCUUGUUUGUGUUCUUUGCUCGAAGAUAUUCAUACAAAAAUGUGCAAAAGAUUGCAAUUGUUGAUUCUAGCUGUGAUAGCAAAAGUGACUGUGGCAAGGUAGAAAAUUCAGUUUGAGUUUGUUACUAAAAUAAGGGAGAACCUGAGUUUGAUUCUUGGUGGGAACAAUUUUUGGUCGGAUUUUACUUACCUCGCGGCCGAACUCUGGAUUACCGGGGCUCCUUCCUCUGGAAACCAGAGGGUUAAUAUAUAAAAAAAAAUAGGGAAUGUUCUACUUAUAGUAUUUUAUCAAAUAUAUAUCUUUUGAUUAUUAGCAAUUUGUAUUUAUGUUGCAUAUAUACAACUUUAUAUUAUGCUCCCAUCCUUAAAAUCUCAUAUUGUUCAUCAUGAAGAGCACUUACAUUUUAUCCCUAAAUUCUCAACUCAACAAAUUAAUGUGCAUAUGAUAACUGGUUUUUGAAUACAAAUUUUAAUAAAUAAGGCAUAUAGGUCUCUCAUAUACAUAGUUGAAGAUUAGUAAAAGCCUGGUUUGUUCAAAGAUACAUAUUUUAGCAACUAACCUUUGUAUUGUACAUCGUUUGUAUCCAAUAUUGUCGAUCGGUAUUUAGCUGCAUGCAUCAUAACUUCCUAUGACAAAGAAGAAAUGAGUAGUUCAACAAUGAAAAAGAAGAAAAAACUACAGCAAUGUCGUCAAAGAGUAUAGCUGAAAAAAACAGAUUAAAUAUGUCAUUUGAAAAACUUUAAAACACGACGUUCAGAAAAAUGUGUCCAAAUAGGUGUUUUCUCUUUAUAGCUGAAAUAACAAACUUGGUUCCCUCUUGCUCUCAUCUUCUUUUCCUGCAUACUCUACCUAUUAUGUACUUAUGUUAUUCCCUCCCUAGCAGUUCCUAACAUGAUGAAAAAGUUUGUAUUUUGUCAUUUACUUAACCUAAAUACACUAAUCUAACCAAGACAUUGGGCUCAAGUGGUUAAUGAACUCUCCCUAGGACAUAUUGUUCGGGAGAACCCGAGUUCUAUUCCUGGUGGGAAUAAUUCUUGGCUAGACUUUAUUUAUCUCGCAGCUAAACUCUGGAUUACCGGGGCCCCUUCCCCUGAAAACCAGAGGGUUAACUAAGAAAAAAAUACACUAUCCAACCUUUGGUUUACCAAUUGUUUCUAAUAAAGUAGUUAUAUGUUUGGUAAGUUUCAGUGUGAAAAUAUUUGCUUAACAAAAAUUCAAAUAACAGAUGUUUCAAUGUACAUUUUGAAAGUAGAGGAUGUGUUUGCAGCAUUGGUUUCAUGCUUAUAAGUAGAGUUCAAAGUACAGUACUCUGUAGUUUGAUGGAUCAUAAAAUUAGUAAGAUAAAUUAGUAAGAUAAAUUCAUAUCUAUUAUCACCAAUUUAGUUCUCAAACUAUUAAAAUCAACUAAAAGUCCCUAAAAUACCCUCCCAUCCAACUAGUCAGUAUCUUCCAUUAGUAACUCCUAAAAAACAACCAUUUAAUCCCUAAAAUGAUAAUCCUUAAUAUUUUUGUUCCUCGGGAGAAAAAUGGUACUAACCAAUUUUCAAGUAUAAGCAUAAUUGACUAACGGAAGAAAAAAAAUCCAAGAAAAUCAAUAUAAUGCUUAAGUAGUAGUUGGAUUAAACUAAAUUUUGGUAAAACUGUUUCCAUUCAAAAGUGAGUAUAUAAAUAUUGUGUAAAAUGGAUUUGAAAGAAUGAAAUACCUCAAUGACUGAAAUGCUAUCUCAUGAGUUCGACGAUUUGAUUUGAUAGUGUCUGCAAUGAAUUCCUCUGUUUUGAAUGAAACAAACCUAACUGCGAGAGUGAGAGUAUUAAUGUGUUUUC
rnacentral:lncRNA from 1 species